rnacentral:lncRNA from 1 species
ACGUGUGUUCUUCCGAUCUGGGCAGUCAAGCUGUGAAAUGCAGCUUUUUUCCCUUCGCACCAAAUCAUGUAUACAGUGUAUUUUGCAUGCACUUGCCCCGUGGUUGAUUAAACUCAA